rnacentral:rRNA from 1 species
GACAGAGGGUGCGAACGUUGCUCGGAAUUACUGGGCGUAAAGCGCGUGUAGGCGGAUCUGCAAGUCGGUUGUGAAAUCCCUGGGCUCAACCCGGGAACUGCAUCCGAAACUGCAAAUCUAGAGUACUGGAGAGGGAAGCGGAAUUCCUGGUGUAGAGGUGAAAUUCGUAGAUAUCAGGAGGAACACCGGUGGCGAAGGCGGCUUCCUGGACAGUAACUGACGCUGAGACGCGAAAGCGUGGGGAGCAAACAGG